GAUGAACGCUGGCGGCGUGCAUAACACAUUCAAGUCGAACGGUGAUGAGGACUUCGGUCCUCUGAUCAGUGGCGGACGGGUGAGUAACGCGUGAGUAACCUGCCUAUAUGAGUGGAAUAACACAGGGAAACUUGUGCUAAUACCGCAUGACGUAUUCGGAUCGCAUGUUCUGAAUACCAAAGAAUUUUGAUAUAGGAUGGGCUCGCGUCCGAUUAGGCAGUUGGUGGGGUGACGGCCCACCAAACCGACGAUCGGUAGCCGAACUGAGAGGUUGAACGGCCACAUUGGAACUGAGAUACGGUCCAGACUCCUACGGGGGGCAGCAGUGGGGAAUAUUGGGCAAUGGGCGAAAGCCUGACCCAGCGACGCCGCGUGAGGGAAGAAGGUCUUCGGAUUGUAAACCUCUUUCAGCAGGGAAGAAGCAAGUGACGGUACCUGCAGAAGAAGUCACGGCUAACUACGUGCCAGCAGCCGCGGU
rnacentral:rRNA from 1 species